rnacentral:rRNA from 1 species
CUUUACAAUGCGGGAAACCGCGAUAAGGGGACACCGAGUGCCAGCAUUUAUGUUGGCUGUCCACAUGUGUAAACGGCAUGUGUUAGCAAGGGCCGGGCAAGACCGGUGCCAGCCGCCGCGGUAACACCGGCGGCCCGAGUGGUAAUCACUUUUAUUGGGUCUAAAGGGUCCGUAGCCGGUUUGAUCAGUUCUUCGGGAAAUCUGACAGCUCAACUGUUAGGCUUCCGGGGAAUACUGUCAGACU